CCUACGGGAGGCAGCAGUGAGGAAUAUUGGUCAAUGGACGGAAGUCUGAACCAGCCACGCCGCGUGCAGGAAGAAGGCUCUAUGAGUUGUAAACUGCUUUUGUAGAAGGGAAAACCUGAAUACGUAUAUGAAGCUGACAGUACGGUACGAAAACGGAUCGGCUAAGUUCGUUCCAGCACACGCGGUAAUACGGAGGAUCCAAGCGUUGUCCGGAUUUGUUUGGUUUAAAGGGUGCGGAGGCGGAUUGAUAAGUUUGAGGUGAAAUGUCCGGGCUCAACUCGGGAACUGCCUGUGAUACUGGGGGACUAGAGAGUAGAUGCGGUAAGUGGAAUGUAUGGUGUAGCGGUGAAAUGCUUAGAGAUAAGGCAGAACACCGAUGGCGAAGGCAGCUUACCGAUCUAUAACUGACGUUGAGGCACGAAAGCGUGGGGAGCAAACAGGAUUAGAUACCCCUGUAGUC
rnacentral:rRNA from 1 species